ensembl:misc_RNA
UUGACCAUACCAAAGACUAAAAUCCUGUACAGAAUUGUCUGCACAGAAUAGGUAUGAUAUGUGCAGUGGCAAGGCAAGUUUCCUCCAUGUUACUUAGCCAAUGUGCCUCAACCCGGCUCUGGAGGGACCAUUCGUAAGGUAGGGUGUUCAUUAUCCAUAACUUAUUCAGUAUUGGUUGCCUCU